rnacentral:rRNA from 1 species
GCGUAAAGCGCGCGUAGGCGGUUGUAUAAGUUGGAUGUGAAAUCCCCGGGCUUAACCUGGGCACUGCAUUCAAAACUGUACGGCUAGAGUGUAGGAGAGGAAGGUAGAAUUCCUGGUGUAGCGGUGAAAUGCGCAGAUAUCAGGAGGAACACCAAUGGCGAAGGCAGGUCUCUGGGCAGUAACUGACGCUGAGGAGCGAAAGCAUGGGUAGCGAACAGGAUUAGAUACCCUGGUAGUCCAUGCCGUAAACGGUGGGCGCUAGGUGUAGGGGACUUCCACGUCUUCUGUGCCGCAGCUAACGCAUUAAGCGCCCCGCCUGGGGAGUACGGCCGCAAGGCUAAAACUCAAAGGAAUUGACGGGGGCCCGCACAAGCGGCGGAGCAUGUGGAUUAAUUCGAUGCAACGCGAAGAACCUUACCUGGGCUUGACAUACACCAGAUCGCUGCAGAGAUGUAGCUUCCCUUGUGGCUGGUGUACAGGUGGUGCAUGGUUGUCGUCAACUCGUGUCGUGAG